AAGACUGUACUUUCAGGGAUCAUUUCUAUAGUUGGUAUCUAGAGAAAAGUAGCUGAAAGUGGUUGGUCUUGCUAACUAUGAGGAUGAGUGAUAGUGUUCUCUUCUGAGCAUGAAGCAAGCAGACAGUGUUGCUUUAAUGUCAUUGCUGUCUGCUGUUGAUGAUUGUUCCUUCUUUCCUGUUGAGAAGCUGGAAGAAGAGAGCACAGGCUGAGUGGU
rfam:Pelodiscus sinensis unplaced genomic scaffold scaffold3139, whole genome shotgun sequence.